CCUACGGGGGGCAGCAGUGAGGAAUAUUGGUCAAUGGCCGGAAGGCUGAACCAGCCAUGCCGCGUGAAGGUCAGUGCCCUAUGGGCGUUAAACUUCUUUUGUGCGGGAGCAAUAAUGGUCACGUGUGGCCAGACGAGAGUACCGUACGAAUAAGCAUCGGCUAACUCCGUUCCAGCAGCCGCGGUAAUACGGGGGAAGCAAGCGUUUUCCGGAUUUAUUGGGUUUAAAGGGUGGGUAGGCUGGGAGGUAAGUCAGCGGGGAAAUGCCCCCGCUCAACGGGGUGAAGUGCCAUUGAUACUGCCUGUCUGGAAUGCGGAUGCGGUGGGAGGAAUGUGUGGUGUAGCGGUGAAAUGCAUAGAUAUCACACAGAACACCGAUUGCGAAGGCAUCUCACGAAUCCGCGAUUGACGCUGAUGCACGAAAGCGUGGGUAUCAAACAGGAUUAGAUACCCCUGUAGUC
rnacentral:rRNA from 1 species